GGGCGCCGGCACGUCCCGGCCGCCGCCGCCGCCGCCGCAGCCGCAGCCGCAGCCGCAGCGUGGCCCCUGCUGCUGAGUACGGCAUGGCACGGUGCUACCGGAUCGGUGUUAGGUCGGAGGCUGGCCACACAGCAAAAAGUCAGUAACGUCACUUUGUGUUGUUGUGGACACAGACCAUGAGGUCGAGGCGGCGGCGGCGGGGGAGGCCAGUGCCAUGAGUUUCGUCGUGUGUUAGAUGUGUUUGCAGUGGCGUGGGUAAUGGUGGUGGUAGAGGUUGAAGCAAAACGUCGCCACGGAGUCACGCCGCGGAUGGCGCCCCACAGGCGCACAGGCUCGGGUCGUCCCCUGGGAGUGGGCACGCCAACCGGCAGCGCCUAAACUCAUCCGGUUGUCGUUUGCAGGCUGGAGUCGGGCGCGGCGACCCCGGACGGCAGCGGCGACCAGAGUCGACUGCUCGGGGCCGACUUAGCCAGCCGCGCCACGAGAAACGGCCGGCCGCCGAGCUGGGGCAGCAGCUGGGAGACGUCGGACCGCGAGCCGAGCGUCAGUCCGCGGGACCGGGACCGGGACCGGCACCGCCACCGGGACCGAGAUCGGCGGCGCAGCGAGACGCCAGGAGCGGCCGAGGACCUGGCGGCCGCCGAGGCGCUGGUGACGUUCAGCGGCCCUGCGGGCCCGGACGCCGAGGAGCAGGACGGUCCGAUCGACCUCUCGGU